GGCUAAGACCAUACCACCCAGAAUGUGCCCCAUUUCUGAUCUCAGAAGCUAAGCAGGAUUGGGCCUGGUUAGCACUUGGAUGGGAAAGGAGACGUUGUGCCUGGCAA
rnacentral:rRNA from 1 species